CUGUGCUGGUGACUAAUAAAGGCUCCUGACGUUUCUUGCCGAGUCUGGGAAGCCAGAAAUAAAAGCCACUUCCAGCUAGGUGUGCUCCAGCCUGAACAUGGACCAUUCACAGGAGGCACUGGUCCAGCCAUGCGGCACCUAUGGACAGGCACUGCUGUGCUUGGUGUCAGCUGCAGCCGUCCCAGGGCCUUUGAAUGACAGCCAAAGGUGUCUCCUCACCACCGGCAGAGCAAUCAUUCUCCAGACGUCAGGCAGACAUUUUCACAGCUCUCCCCACACUAGAGAUUUCUAGUUCUCCUGAAGACCCAGGGUAAGAGAUUGUGCUGUCACUGGACAGAACAAGAUAGAAACAGCAUCUCAAGAGUGCCAGGGAGCACAUGGGCAAGCAGCAGGGAGCGAUGACGACUGUGAUGGACCACACACUGCCACUGUCUCAGACACGGAGCCCGUCACCAACUUGCUCCUCCUCCAAGAUCAGUUCCUCCAGUGACCGUCUCUACCAAGAGAAUGAAGAGCGCUGGACCAGAUACCACAGGACAUUCCUGAUGCCUGAGACACAGUCCCUUUCUUCAAAAUACUAUCUAAGUGUAGGAAAGAGGAACAUGCAGAGAACACAUGGAGAAAAGCCACCAGAAAGUUCCAGGGAAGAUGUUAUGAAAGUCUGGGGAAGACAGAACUUAUUUCACUUGGUUAAGUUCUCUAUGGGGCACCUGAUGAUGUUUGAAUAA
rnacentral:lncRNA from 1 species